rnacentral:ncRNA from 2 species
UGGAAUCCCGGCGAUGGAGUUCGCCGUGAAAUGCCUGUGUCGAUAGAGGCUGAUGACUCCUGCCCGACA